rnacentral:rRNA from 1 species
UACGUAGGGUGCGAGCGUUAAUCGGAAUUACUGGGCGUAAAGCGUGCGCAGGCGGCGCCGCAAGUCAGGCGUGAAAUCCCCGAGCUUAACUUGGGAAUGGUGCUUGAAACUACGGUGCUGGAGUGUGGCAGAGGGAGGUGGAAUUCCACGUGUAGCGGUGAAAUGCGUAGAUAUCUGGAGGAACACCGGUGGCGAAGGCGGCAUCCUGGACCGACAUUGACGCUGAGGCGCGAAAGCCAGGGGAGCAAACAGG